AAAGGGUGCGUAGGCGGCCCUCUAAGUCAGUGGUGAAAUACUGCAGCUUAACUGUAGCAUUGCCAUUGAUACUGGAGGGCUUGAGUACAGAUGAGGUAGGCGGAAUUUAUGGUGUAGCGGUGAAAUGCAUAGAUACCAUAAAGAACACCUAUUGCGAAGGCAGCUUACUAAGCUGUAACUGACGCUGAGGCACGAAAGCGUGGGGAGCGAACAGGAUUAGAUACCCCUGU
rnacentral:rRNA from 1 species